AGAGGAUGUUCUGAACAAAACUGAAAGAGUCCUUGACGCCAGGAUGAAAUGAUUUUGAGCAAAAUUCCCAGGAAGAUAUUUAGGGCAAAGACAAUUGAAUGCUAAAGGAAGUCAAUUUCCGAGCUUGCUGUUUUUAAUCCCCACUUCCAUCCCUGCCGCAAACAGGGUGGCGGGCGCGGCCGUGGAUAGGCGGAGCCUGGCUAGGCCCUCACGGGCAGUGAUGGAGCUUGGGAGAGAGGCAGGCACCGCAGACCCGUAGCUCGGGGCCAUCCUCCCCAGCCCCCACCCAGAGGCGCUUCUGGGCUGCCACAGGGACAGACGCCAAGACAUCCCAGCCGCUCCCUGAGAAACGACUUCCAGCUCCCUGACAGGUUGCUAAUGAACAUUCACAGCAGGAAGGAGGCCAUAUCUGGACCCUGGAACCUCAUUUGUAAGAAACGCUCAUGAAGUCAUCAGGGUCAAAGUUGACCUUCCUGUUAUUAAACGUGGCCGAGAACGUUCCCGCAGAAUCUGGCAGCAAGCCGACCUUCUUCACUUAAAUGGAGUAGUAGGGAAAAAGGCCCGGGCUGCUGGCCGGCAGGGCUCCGGCUCCACCAGGAGCCCCGGUGGACGAGGGUCGUCCUGCAGGACCGCCAGUCACAGAGGCCCCCAUGUUUCUUUUCCUGGGAAGGCUUCCGCUGUGGUCGUGAGUUCACACCAGUGAGCGGGGAGGUGGGGCCAGAGGGCUCUUGUGGGAAACGCAGACAAGCCCAGGCUUCCUUCUCCAGGUUAAGGAGGCUUUUACGAGCCCUAGCAAGGCCAACUCCCCCAGGCUGGGAAACCCCAGAGGCAUUUAUCAUCUCUCCUGCGCUGGCGGCUUCCACGUCAGGGUCUCGGUGGGAAGCGUUCAGGUGGUUUGUUUUUCAACCGAAAGCUGUCACCGGCUCUGCGGCUGUGGCCUCAGCUUUUACCAUCACUGGAGCCGUCUUAGUUUCUUCACCAGAUUGAAAAGGCAUUUCCUAAAUUCAUAAUGUUUGAGACACAUUAUGGUCUUAGGACUGGAUUGUAAAGUUCUCUGUGGAAGAGGGUCUGGCCUGCCCCUCAACUCUGGCCCCAUUUCCUUAAGGAAUUGGUGAAUGCAAAUGCGACGGCUUUAUAUUUUUACAGCUGCCCAUAUUUUCUCAUUUGAUUCUCAUAACUCUGGGAAGGAAGGCAGGGGUUAUUAUUCCCAUUUUUCAGAUAAGGAAGUGGAGGUUAAGGAAACAUGUGUGAGGCCCACAACUGUGCAUUUUAGCACCAGGGCCUGAACCCAAGGGUUCUCAUCCCCUCACGGCUUCUGUCUCCUCCACUCUAGACCCUCCCGUGCUGGGUGGCAGACCAUCCCAGAAAUGGUUCCUGGGCCUCUGCCAACACCAGGACCCUAACCCUGCUUCUCCCACCUCAUCAGAGGAGCCCAAGGGGUCGCCUCCAUUUUCCUUUCCACCAAAGGGCAGGAAAGCUAUGUGUUGCUGUGCGGGCCCCAAAAGUGUUCACCUCAGCAAGCUUCCCCCAUUCCUGGAGCCGAGGAACCUUGGCUGCUACCGCCGUGACUCGGCUCACAGAGGCAGCUCGAGGAGAGUUUGCUGGGUCUGUCCCUUCACACCUGGCCUUGCCUCCUCCUGUUUCAGGCAGCCCAUCCACGGUGCCAGGAAAAAAACACAUGAGCAAGAAAGAGCACUUCUUCAAGGGAGCUCUGGCCUUUGAAACCGCCUGCCUCUUUUGGCCAGGCUGGCAGAGACGGUUCAAUCACAGUUCAGCGCCGGUGGCCCGCGAAAAGCUCACGUGCGUUGGCUGCGUCCUUGUUCUGCAGAGCAGCUCCUUUUCCUUGGUGCUAGUCACCCUGGGAGGCGGCUUCUCCCCAGUGAGCACGUGGCAGACAAGCCCUCCUCUGAUGACCCGGCUGGGCAGCUCUGCUGACCAUCACGGCGACUCUGCCAGGGAAAUUGUGGGCAACAUCACGCGUGCAUAGAGACUCCCCCUCCUGAGUAGAAUGAGAGAUUUUCUGAGUGCAGAGAAGUCCCCGACUCUGUUCCAGAAGCUUCUGAGGCCGCCAUUAAAGCUGACCUGCCUGGUGAAGGCAUAGUCUGGAUAAUAAGGACUUGGAGGGACCCCCCACCGGAGUGGCAGGCCACAGGACAGUGCCGUGGUGCAGGAAGGGACGUACCUCUGCAAAGUGAAGGCACGUGAGCACCUCGCUGGAGACGCUGUGGGAGAGAAAGCUGGGGGUUGAGAAAGUGACCCUGAAAGUAUGGGUUUCCCCAUGCCGUCAAAGGCACCAGCUUCCUGCAGCGCCCGAGGUUCACCUGCUCAGAGAAAGGUGCGCCUCCUCCCUCUCCACCACCACCACCCCUCCGGCCCCUUCCCCACUGACUUAGAGACCAAACCCAUCCCUACCUCCUCCUCCGUCCUCACCCAGGAGGCCGCUCACCCUCACAGCUGGCUCCACACUCAGACCUAGGUCACCCCUAUCUGGGGGAAGUAUUUUUUCCUCAAGAAUCAACUAACAAAUAAAGAUGAGAGACCGACACUUCAUUCUUUUUGUAAUGAGUCUUACAGCAGAAACAAAUAAGCCCAAAAUAAAAGUGACAAUG